CCUACGGGGAGCAGCAGUGAGGAAUAUUGGUCAAUGGACGAGAGUCUGAACCAGCCAAGUAGCGUGAAGGAUGACUGCCCUAUGGGUUGUAAACUUCUUUUAUAUGGGAAUAAAACAGGGUAUGCAUACACUCUUGUAUGUACCAUAUGAAUAAGGAUCGGCUAACUCCGUGCCAGCAGCCGCGGUAAUACGGAGGAUCCGAGCGUUAUCCGGAUUUAUUGGGUUUAAAGGGAGCGUAGGUGGAUUGUUAAGUCAGUUGUGAAAGUUUGCGGCUCAAUCGUAAAAUUGCAGUUGAAACUGGCAGUCUUGAGUACAGUAGAGGUGGGCGGAAUUCGUGGUGUAGCGGUGAAAUGCUUAGAUAUCACGAAGAACUCCGAUUGCGAAGGCAGCCUGCCGGGGUGCGACUGACGCUGAGGCUCGAAGGUGCGGGUAUCAAACAGGAUUAGAUACCCCUGUAGUC
rnacentral:rRNA from 1 species